UACGGAGGGGGCUAGCGUUGUUCGGAAUUACUGGGCGUAAAGCGCGCGUAGGCGGACCUGCAAGUCGGGGGUGAAAGCCCGAGGCUCAACCUCGGAACUGCCUUCGAUACUGCGGGUCUCGAGUCCGGGAGAGGUGAGUGGAAUUCCGUAGUGUAGAGGUGAAAUCGUAGAUAUUAGGAAGAACACCAGUGGCGAAGGCGGCUGACA
rnacentral:rRNA from 1 species